rnacentral:rRNA from 1 species
AUUGAACGCUGGCGGCAGGCCUAACACAUGCAAGUCGAACGAGUGGCGGACGGGUGAGUAAUGUCUGGGAAACUGCCUGAUGGAGGGGGAUAACUACUGGAAACCGUAGCUAAUACCGCAUACCAUCGGAUGUGCCCAGAUGGGCUUAGCUAGUAGGUGGGGUAAAGGCUCACCUAGGCGACGAUCCCUAGCUGGUCUGAGAGGAUGACCAGCAAGACUGCAACUGAGACACGGUCCAGACGCCUAAGGGAGGAAGCAGUGGGGAAUAGUGCACAAUGGGCGCAAGACUGAUGCAGCCAUGCCGCGUGUAUGAAGAAGGCCUUCGGAUUGUAAAGUACUUUCAGCGAGGAGGCGUUACUCGCAGAAGAAGCACCGGCUAACUCCGUGCCAGCAGCCGCGGUAAUAC